CCCUAGGCUGCACAAUUUAGAGUACCGCGUGGCUUUUUCUUUUCGAAACCUUUAGGUGCUCAAGUUGUAUUAUAUUAUAACUUACAUUUUUUUAACUUAUAAUUGUUGUUUUUUAAGUGUUUUCCAUGCAUGUGAAAGUACUUGAAUUUUUUUAAUGAAUAAAUAUAUUUUAAAAGUAUAAAUUUAAUUAUAUUUUAUAUAAUUUAUAUAUUUAAAUAUAUAUUGAUUAACGUAUAUAUUUUCUGUGUGAGUUUUUUCUUCUUCCUUAUAUUCAGCUCAAAAGCUACAAUACGACCAAAGAUCAAUCCUAAUCAUUUCCCUCAUCUAUGGAGCUAAUUUGGAAAGAGGCUGAUGGAAGUACAGACAGGAUGUCUCAAAGACAGGGAGACCAGAAAAAAGAACAUAUCCUAACUUUCAUCUCAUGCCAGAUUCAUAGGUCAUACCUGAGAAGGACAUCAAGGCUUUGGGGAGCUUUUAUGAGACACACUGAAGCAAUCAGCAGGGAAAUCCCUCAAGCUUUUCAGCAGUUACCUGA